CCUACGGGGGGCAGCAGUGAGGAAUAUUGGUCAAUGGCCGGAAGGCUGACCCAGCAACGCCGCGUGAAGGAAGAAGGCUUUCGGGUUGUAAACUUCUUUUAAGGGGGACGAACAAAUGACGGUACCCCUUGAAUAAGCCACGGCUAACUACGUGCCAGCAGCCGCGGUAAUACGUAGGUGGCAAGCGUUAUCCGGAUUUAUUGGGUGUAAAGGGCGUGUAGGCGGGAGCGCAAGUCAGAUGUGAAAACUCAGGGCUCAACCCUGAGCCUGCAUUUGAAACUGUGUUUCUUGAGUGCUGGAGAGGCAAUCGGAAUUCCGUGUGUAGCGGUGAAAUGCGUAGAUAUACGGAGGAACACCAGUGGCGAAGGCGGAUUGCUGGACAGUAACUGACGCUGAGGCGCGAAAGCGUGGGGAGCAAACAGGAUUAGAUACCCCGGUAGUC
rnacentral:rRNA from 1 species